rnacentral:rRNA from 1 species
AGGGUUUGAUCCUGGCUCAGGAUGAACGCUAGCUACAGGCUUAACACAUGCAAGUCGAGGGGCAUCGGGAAGAAAGCUUGCUUUCUUUGCUGGCGACCGGCGCACGGGUGAGUAACACGUAUCCAACCUGCCGAUGACUCGGGGAUAGCCUUUCGAAAGAAAGAUUAAUACCCGAUGGUAUAUCUGAAAGGCAUCUUUCAGCUAUUAAAGAAUUUCGGUCAUUGAUGGGGAUGCGUUCCAUUAGGUUGUUGGCGGGGUAACGGCCCACCAAGCCAUCGAUGGAUAGGGGUUCUGAGAGGAAGGUCCCCCACAUUGGAACUGAGACACGGUCCAA